UUAUAGAGCUCUGUAAUCAAAUUGUUACUAGUAAGAAUUCAAUUGUAGAGCUCUAUAAUUGCAAUUUUUACUAGUAACAAUUGCAUUACAGAGCUCUGUAUUCAGCGCCAUCUUAUUAUGCUAAUCGUGCCUUAUGCAUAUUCAUUUAGGUCGUAUAAAGUUGACUGGGGGAAACAGGUUUUUGUUGCAGUGUUUAUAAUAAUAUAUUACUGUAACUUAAGUAACAACGUCAUGAAAUAAUGGAUGUCGUUAAUAAAGAGAUUAUUUCGCGGAUAACAAUAACUUUAUUUUCAUACGGGGCGUGGUCAGUUUGCAAACACAACACCACUUGCUCGUGUCUCCUGCCUCAGCUCUGACCUUGACAGCAGGCCGGGGUUUUUACACCAGAUCGACAAAUUAGCAGCAUAUUUUAGUUAAACCCUGCGGUUCAUUUUGGGCUUGAGGUCCAUUGGUUGCAUUGAUAUCACUGGCUUGCAUUGGAUUAACAGUGGAAACGCGAGUAGCAUAGACAAGAUGGAUAACAAACAACAUGUCUCUACUGUAACAGCGGCAAAUGUGUAAACUAAACUACAACCGGUACCAAGACAUGACGUGCAUAAUUAUGAUGACUCCAUGAUGUCCCACUUCAUACAUGUCCAUAAGGAUUAUGCUACAGAGGCAUACAGUAGCUAACUGCCACCAGCUGAGGACUGCCUGGUUAAACGUGCUGAAGAGAAAAUAGAAGAUGAGAAGCUGUUUCUCCAGUGUUGUGCUGGUGGAUCCACUAAUAUGCUGUUUCUAGAUCUGUUGUGGUGUGUUAACAUUGCUAUGUUGAAGCCAUUUGACAUAAAGUUUAAGUUCUUGAGAGGUUAUUAAGCACUUUUCAGUCUGAGAUUUAUAAUAACUGAGUUGAACAUGUUCAAGUAUUUCUUCUUUCAUGCAUUUCUCUGUCUCUGUCCAUCUCUUUCUCUAAGUAGUAUGUGAAGCCUGCAGUAGUUCUGUGGCAGUUGUUUGUUUUCUGUGAGUGCUUUGUUAACUAAAAUUGUAUAAAACAGAUUGUCUACCCAUGAAAUCAUCAUUGUGUCUCUUUAACCCUUCAUGUGUUUUGUUAAGAUAUAGUGACUGCAAAGGCCAUAGCAUACUGUAUGAUUGCAUCUUUAUUUUACCAAGUAAUCUGGCAAGACUGAAAGUAGCAUUUAUGCGGAACAAUUUUUUAAAACUUUGAGCAAAAGUUUUUAUCCGAAAUGUUGUGCAGUAACAAGAAACAAGUAACAAGAAAAAUGUGGUUCAAUAAUCUGAUACUGCAGAAUUAUAUACUGUAAAGGUGAGUAAUCAAGUAAUUGUGUACAAUUAGGAUAAACUUUACUUCUGUGUUACUUUCAGCUUUAUAUAUUGCAGCUGUCACACUGACAUCGUGAGAUCAACAUAUGUACAAUUCUAUGCUAAAAUUGUAACUCUGGUCGCUUGAUUCAAAAGUAUAAUAAAUCAAAAUUUUGCCUUGAGGGAAUUUGAACCUCGGUCUCCCGUUUCGUAUGUCAGUAACAGUACCAACACGCCAUAAAGUUAUGUAACACUCCCCAAGUAGCCCUUAGCAAAAUUCACGUUAAACUUAUCAGGGUAGAAAUUUUUAAUAAUAAUUUUGACUUCUACUAUAACAUGAAUUCUCUUAAUAUGUUUGCUGAAAAAGUUUGUAUAUAUAUAUAUAUAUAUAUUAAUUAGAGUAUGUAAAAUCAGGCAUAAAAGGACUUUUAUUUUGAACACAUGCUAUCGCAGGCGGUACUUGGUAAGGAAAUGGCUGCAACACCGCAUCUAUUUAGCAUCUCAUGAAUAGGAGUUUUUACUAGUAAGAAUACAAUUAUAGAGCUCUGUAAUUAGAAUUGUUACUAGUAAAAAUUUAAUUAUAGAGCUCUACAAUUCAGUUGUUACUAGUAAAAAUACAAUUGCAGAGCUCUAUAAUUCAAUUAGAGAGCUCUGUAAUCAAAAUUGUUACUAGUAAAAAUUGAAUUAUAGAGCUCUACAAUUCAGUUGUUACUAGU